rnacentral:rRNA from 1 species
UGAGGAAUAUUGGGCAAUGCCCGCAAGGGUGACCCAGCAACGCCGCGUGGAGGAUGAAUGUCGUAAGAUUGUAAACUCCUGUUAGAGGGGAAGAAUAGUACCGGUUGGACCGGUAUAUGACUGUACCCUCAGAGAAAGCCCCGGCUAACUACGUGCCAGCAGCCGCGGUAAUACGUAGGGGGCAAGCGUUGUCCGGAUUUACUGGGUGUAAAGGGCGCGCAGGCGGGAUAAAAAGUCAGUGGUGAAAUCCUACAGCUUAACUGUAGAACUGCCUUUGAUACUUUUAUUCUUGAGUUCGGGAGAGAGAGACGGAAUUCCAGGUGUAGUGGUGAAAUACGUAAAUAUCUGGAAGAACACCAGUUGCGAAGGCGGUCUCUUGGUCCGACACUGACGCUGAGGCGCGAAAGCGUGGGGAGCAAACA